rnacentral:rRNA from 1 species
CCUACGGGUGGCAGCAGUGGGGAAUAUUGCGCAAUGGGCGAAAGCCUGACGCAGCGACGCCGCGUGAGGGAUGAAGGUCUUAGGAUCGUAAACCUCUGUUAGCAGGGAAGAACGGUCACCGUGUUAAUCAGCAGUGAAUUGACGGUACCUGCAAAGGAAGCACAGGCUAACUCCGUGCCAGCAGCCGCGGUAAUACGGAGGGUGCGAGCGUUAAUCGGAAUUACUGGGCGUAAAGCGCUCGUAGGCGGUAUGUCAAGUCAAGGGUGAAAUCCCCGCGCUCAACGUGGGAACUGCCUUUGAAACUGGCAAACUUGAGUGUGUGAGAGGAUAGUGGAAUUCCAGGUGUAGGAGUGAAAUCCGUAGAUAUCUGGAGGAACAUCAGUGGCGAAGGCGACUAUCUGGCACAUGACUGACGCUGAGGAGCGAAAGCGUGGGUAGCAAACAGGAUUAGAUACCCUUGUAGUC